GUGGGGAAUAUUGGACAAUGGGCGAAAGCCUGAUCCAGCCAUGCCGCGUGAGUGAUGAAGGCCUUAGGGUUGUAAAGCUCUUUCAGUAGGGAAGAUAAUGACGGUACCUACAGAAGAAGCCCCGGCUAACUUCGUGCCAGCAGCCGCGGUAAUACGAAGGGGGCUAGCGUUGUUCGGAUUUACUGGGCGUAAAGCGCACGUAGGCGGAUUGGUCAGUUAGAGGUGAAAUCCUGGAGCUCAACUCCAGAACUGCCUUUAAUACUGCCAGUCUAGAGUCCAGAAGAGGUGAGUGGAACUCCUAGUGUAGAGGUGGAAUUCGUAGAUAUUAGGAAGAACACCAGUGGCGAAGGCGGCUCACUGGUCUGGUACUGACGCUGAGGUGCGAAAGCGUGGGGAGCAAACAGGAUUAGAAACCCGUGUAGUCC
rnacentral:rRNA from 1 species